UACGAAGGGGGCUAGCGUUGUUCGGAUUUACUGGGCGUAAAGCGCACGUAGGCGGAUCGUUAAGUCAGGGGUGAAAUCCUGGAGCUCAACUCCAGAACUGCCUUUGAUACUGGGGAUCUCGAGUCCGGAAGAGGUGAGUGGAACUCCGAGUGUAGAGGUGAAAUUCGUAGAUAUUACGGAAGAACACCAGUGGCGAAGGCGGCUCACUGGUCCGGUACUGACGCUGAGGUGCGAAAGCGUGGGGAGCAAACAGGGAUUAAGAAACCCU
rnacentral:rRNA from 1 species